AGCAGCAGCCGCGGUAAUACGAAGGGGGCUAGCGUUGUUCGGAUUUACUGGGCGUAAAGGGCGCGUAGGCGGACUGAUAAGUCAGGGGUGAAAUCCCAAGGCUCAACCUUGGAACUGCCUUUGAUACUGUUUGUCUUGAGUUCGAGAGAGGUAAGUGGAACUGCGAGUGUAGAGGUGAAAUUCGUAGAUAUUCGCAAGAACACCAGUGGCGAAGGCGGCUUACUGGCUCGAAACUGACGCUGAGGCGCGAAAGCGUGGGGAGCAAACAGGAUUAGAGAUCCCAGUAGUCCCUGUCUCUUAUAC
rnacentral:rRNA from 1 species